GUACUGAUGAAGAGUCCCGAAACUAGGACGAAAUAGCUGUCCAGUAC
rnacentral:hammerhead_ribozyme from 1 species